AGGACGAACGCUGGCGGCGUGCUUAACACAUGCAAGUCGAGCGGAAAGGCCCUUCGGGGUACUCGAGCGGCGAACGGGUGAGUAACACGUGGGCAACCUGCCCCUAGCUCUGGGAUAACUCCGGGAAACCGGGGCUAAUACCGGAUACGACCUCGGACGGCAUCUUCUGAGGUGGAAAGUUUUUCGGCUAGGGAUGGGCCCGCGGCCUAUCAGCUUGUUGGUGGGGUCACGGCCCACCAAGGCGACGACGGGUAGCCGGCCUGAGAGGGCGACCGGCCACACUGGGACUGAGACACGGCCCAGACUCCUACGGGAGGCAGCAGUGGGGAAUAUUGCGCAAUGGGCGAAAGCCUGACGCAGCGACGCCGCGUGAGGGAUGAAGGCCUUCGGGUUGUAAACCUCUUUCAGCAGGGACGAAGCGAGAGUGACGGUACCUGCAGAAGAAGCACCGGCCAACUACGUGCCAGCAGCCGC
rnacentral:rRNA from 1 species